ensembl:lncRNA
GGGAUUAUAGGCCUUAGCCACUAUGCCAGGCCUCAUGUAACCCCUUCUUCACAAGGGCGAAAUCUUUCGUCUUGCUUUCUUGUUAUGUAGUUCUGGCCUUGAACUCACGAUGUAGUCCAGGCUGGCCUCAAACUGUGGCAAUCCUUCUGCCUCAGCCUCCCCAUUGCUGGGGUUAUAAGCGUGCACCACCACGCCUGGCUUUUUUUCUCUUUUAGCUCGCCCAGCCUCAGUCUGUCUGGAUCACCAUCCAGCACUGGUCCCAAAACACACGUUGCUCAGGGCUCAAGUCUUCGCAGGGCUCACUGCAGCGCCAGGAGCCUUUCCACACCUCCUGCCAACCUGGCCUCACCUGCUUGUCCUCCACUGCACAUUUCCCCUCAGGUCCCCUGGCCGCGCUCCGCCUGCCCAGUUUUCAUAAUCCUCUCAGGCUCCAGCGAGAGAGGCACCGCCCACCGCAGGGCCUGGUCACGUGAGGGAAACACUGCGGGCCCCAGGCUGCGGACGGAGCCUGGAGAGCCCUGUCCUGUUUCCCUCCGCGCUGAAGUCAGGCUGUCAGGAAACCUGGCCCGUCUCCCGCUAAGCGACCUAGACCUCCACCCUCGCAUCACUACAUGCGAAUUAUACCUCUGUUGGAAGACGAGGAGGUGCUGUCAUCGUUCAUUACAUCAGCAAGCGCUCGUGGAGAACCUGCCACACCAACAGACCAGACUGGAUGCUUUGGAUCCAGUCUCUGGCUCAGCUGUCCUGUGAGGGAGCAGCCACAGGGAGACAAACGGCACUUCCUGUGCACUUCGAGCAGCUGGCUAUUUACAAGAGCCCCUGGUCACACAGGUAAUAGCCUUUCCCGUCACCUGGAAGCAUGAAGAAAGGCUUCAGAAAGUGAAUAUAAAAGGGCCGAGUCUUAAGUUCAUGGUCAGGCUUGAGAUAGGGCAACAGGGCAAGGGACGCCCCCAAACCUAGGACCACCAUCAUGACACCCCUCAUCCUGCCCAGGGACAGCCUGCCAGUGGGAGCACAGUUCCUCCUUAAUCAGAAGGAAAGAAACUGAGCAAUCGAGCGAGAGAUUUCCUAGAAAGAAUGCUGGGACCCAAAAUGAUGUCAGGCUUAGACUGAGCACUGC